GCCGCGGUAAUACGGAGGGUGCAAGCGUUACUCGGAAUCACUGGGCGUAAAGCGCGCGCAGGCGGCCAUUUAAGUUGGAUGUGAAAGCCUACAGCUCAACUGUAGAACUGCAUCCAAAACUAUUUGGCUAGAGUGUGGGAGAGGAAGAUGGAAUUAGUUGUGUAGGGGUAAAAUCCGUAGAGAUAACUAGGAAUACCAAAAGCGAAGGCAAUCUUCUGGAACACUACUGACGCUGAGGCGCGAAAGCGUGGGGAGCAAACAGGAUUAGAUACCCUGGUAGUCCACGCAGUAAACGAUGAAUGUUAGUCGUCGGGUAGCUAGUCUAUUCGGUGAUGCAGCUAACGCAUUAAACAUUCCGCCUGGGGAGUACGGUCGCAAGAUUAAAACUCAAAGGAAUAGACGGGGACCCGCACAAGUGGUGGAGCAUGUGGUUUAAUUCGAAGAUACGCGAAGAACCUUACCUAGCCUUGACAUAUAUUUAGAACAUUUUAGAGAUAGAAUGGUGCCUUCGGGAGCUUUUUAUACAGGUGCUGCACGGCUGUCGUCAGCUCGUGUCGUGAGAUGUUGGGUUAAGUCCCGCAACGAGCGCAACCCUCGUCACUAGUUACUAACGGUUCGGCCGAGGACUCUAGUGAGACUGCCUUCGCAAGGAGGAGGAAGGUGAGGACGACGUCAAGUCAUCAUGGCCCUUACGGCUAGGGCAACACACGUGCUACAAUGGUUGGGACAAUGAGACGCAAUACCGCGAGGUGGAGCAAAUCUAUAAACCCAAUCUCAGUUCGGAUUGUUCUCUGCAACUCGAGAACAUGAAGCUGGAAUCACUAGUAAUCGUAGAUCAGCUAUGCUACGGUGAAUACGUUCCCGGGUCUUGUACUCACCGCCCGUCACACCAUGGGAGUUGAUUUCACCCGAAGCGGGGAAGCUAAACUGGCUACCCUCCACGGUGGAAUUAGCGACUGGGGUGAAGUCGUAACAAGGUAGCC
rnacentral:rRNA from 1 species